CGUAGUAGUUAGGAAAAAUCCUUACUGGCUGGCGGUCCUAGCUAGAAAAAUGAAGUACUAUGGUUUCAUUUUGUGCUUUAUUGUUUUUCUUGCCAUUCUCCUAACUUCUUAUGCAGGAAGAACUUACCCAUCUCACACCCCAAAUCUUAAAGUUGGUGAAGCACAAAAAGGAGCUUAUCGUACAUAUAAUGAAGGCCCAGGCCCAGGCGAAUGGCCAUGUCCGUGCAAUAAUUAAUUUGCAAUGACUUAUUAAUGUCACCGAUGUAUGCGUUGUCUACUGAUUCGAUCUCUCCUAUAAAUAAAAAAAAUAUUAAUACCAUAAUCGUACGUGAUCUAUGGUGUGAGUGUGUAACUACGUACCAAAUACUUAUCGAUCGUUUGCCAUUGAAACAUGUAAUUUGAUGGUUAUAUAGUAGUGUCGUUGAUGCUAUUUGCUGGUUUGUAAUUUGCAAUAAACCACGUGAUGUUUAUAGA